AGCAGCCGCGGUAAUUCCAGCUCCAAUAGCGUAUAUUAAAGUUGUUGCAGUUAAAAAGCUCGUAGUUGAAUUUCGGGGUUAGUAGGUUGGUCAUGCCUCUGGUAUGUACUGGUCUCACUGAUUCCUCCUUCCUGAUGAACCUUAAUGCCAUUUAUUUGGUGUUUUGGGGAAUUUGGACUGUUACUUUGAAAAAAUUAGAGUGUUUAAAGCAAGCUAACGCUUGAAUACAUUAGCAUGGAAUAAUGAAAUAGGACGUUCGAUCCUAUUUUGUUGGUUUCUAGGAUUGACGUAAUGAUUAAUAGGGAUAGUUGGGGGCAUUAGUAUUCAAUUGUCAGAGGUGAAAUUCUUGGAUUUAUUGAAGACUAACUACUGCGAAAGCAUUUGCCAAGGAUGUAUUCAUUAAUCAAGAACGAAAGUUAGGGGAUCGAAGACGAUCAGAUACCGUCGUAGUCUUAACCAUAAACUAUGCCGACUAGGGAUCGGAUGAUGUUAAUUUUUUAAUGACUCA
rnacentral:rRNA from 1 species